ACGUAGGGGGCAAGCGUUGUUCGGAUUUACUGGGCGUAAAGGGCGCGUAGGCGGCGUGACAAGUCACUUGUGAAAUCUCCGGGCUUAACUCGGAACGGCCAAGUGAUACUGUCGUGCUAGAGUACAGAAGGGGCAAUCGGAAUUCUUGGUGUAGCGGUGAAAUGCGUAGAUAUCAAGAGGAACACCUGAGGUGAAGACGGGUUGCUGGGCUGAUACUGACGCUGAGGCGCGAAAGCUAGGGUAGCAAACGGGA
rnacentral:rRNA from 1 species